rnacentral:lncRNA from 1 species
UAGAGUUGUGGUAGAUACUAUCUCUGGAAGAGCUUUUAUGAUAUUAUGUUUGGAGGUAGCUUCUAAUAUUCUCGACUAAAUCUCUCUCACUAAUCCAGGGUGGUAAACUUGGGAGCCAAAGAGAGGUUUUGGCACUUACGCUAUCAGAGUUAUUAGUGACCAGAGAGUAGCAGAUGAAUCUAUAGCGCAAGAGAUUGCAAUGCUAAAGACUGAUAUGGGUGUACUGGCAAAGUAGUUUGUAACCGUUAAUUCCAAAAAAGUUCAUAUAGUAGGAGCAUAGGGUACAACUUUUAGAGAUUAUGAGUCUAGAUUAUAAGAGGAGGCUAGAUAUUUGGAUCGUCGGUUAGAGGGUUUCCAAGCCCAAGAGCAAGGAAACCAAGGUCGGGACUGCUAUGAUGAUAUAUAUAGAGACAACAAUAGGGAUAAAGAUGGUGAAUGGAUACAGAGAGAUAAUUAUAGAGAAAAAAAAGACAGGUACAUUCCGCCUGGCAGACAAGAUAUGUAAUCAAGAAUGGAAGAACUACGGAUCAAACUGGUGAAAGGUCAAGAAAAUUAGGAGAACAACCUUAAGGAAAUUAAGGCUGAAAUUCAGUGUUGACCCAGAAGGUGGAGUCUCAUGCCAUUGCUAGUAAGGAGUUGGAGUAACAGUUUGGGAAAAUAUCUGCUAUGAUCAAACAGAAAUAGUUUGUUACUCUUUCGAGUGAAAAAUUUCAGAGUCCACUAGCUAUAAGUCAUUGUCUAGCUAUCACCACUAGUUGUGAUUCCACUACUGAUGAUCCCCCUGUACCUGUUAUUAAAGAGUUAAAGAUUGAUAGCACUGAAAGCAAUGAGAUACCUGAGGCAGUGUCUAAGAAGUCGACAUAUGGUGAUGAUGAUUUUGAGUAUAAUAGUGGUGAGGAUUGGGUCGGCAAGCCUAAUGAUUAUGUGCACCCUUAUAGUGUGACCCCUUCCUUACCGUUAGUAUAAAAGAAGGAGGAUCCCAAAGCAGUCAUCAUUUCAUGUUCUAUUGGUCCUUUUAGUAUCAAGCAGACUUUAUGUGACUUGGGUUCAUGAGUAAAUAUAAUGCCACAGAGUGUGUACAAGCUAUUGAGGAUGGGGGAACUAAAACCUAUGUCCAUAAAAUUAUUGAUGGUUGACUCAUCUAUGAAGAAACCGAUGGGUGUUUAGUGUGAUGUAGAAGUAAGGAUUGCAUCCCUUAUGUUCCCUGCUGAUUUCAUGGUUCUUGAUUGUGAGGUGAAUUCUCAAGCCCUUAUUAUAUUGAGUAGACCCUUUCUAUCCACUGGUAGGGUAUUGAUUGAUAUGGACUUGGGGUAAAACACCUUCAAAUAGAAUGAUGAGCAAGCAGUAUUUGAUGUAUGUAUGGUUGUGUAGCAGUAAGAUGAUAUUCGAGUGGUGUCUGUAAUAGAUACUAUUGAUGAGAAUAGUGCUAUAGAGGCUAUUGUACCUAAUACACUAGGUUUUGAUAAGCGACAUAGGGAAGAUAGGUUUGUAGAGGUUGAGUCAGUGAAGUUAGAAGAUAUUAGGGAGAAAGUGGACCUACUUAGAGCAGAGGUGUGCUCUCUCAAUGAGAGCCACAUAUUAGCUAUCCCUCCAAUUGUAUCCCCAAGUAUUCAUCCAUUACUUUUCUGUGUUCCCAGACACGUUGAUUUAUCUACAAAGAAUGAUAUGGUGGUCCCCGUAGCUAGGACCAAGAGAGGACAAGUGAGGGAAUUACAGAAUCCAAAUAGGCAAUACGAGCAAGCCUUGGAAAGGGACAUCCAUGAUUCGAUAGAGAAUAUAUUUAUUGAUAGGCAGAGGCUUGCCGAGCUAGCUGCAGGUGCAUCUUCUUAGAGUGAACUGCCAUCACCAUGGCCUCCGUCUGUUGAUAUACCCCCAUCUGGGGAAGAUCAUGACACGUACGCUUAGUGCGUCCCAGGUAUGUUCUCACUUCCCUCUAUUUUAUUUUGAUGCAUUAAGGACAAUAUGCAGUUUUUAGUUGGGGGUGGGCAUACCAUGCCACCACGGGUUUUUGUUGUCAUGCUUCUUUUCUUGAUAGCACGGUAUGAUUGUAGAACUAACAUGUCUAGGUUAAUUUUGUGUCAUAUUGUAUUUUAUUUCGUAUUGUGUUGUUUUUGUGUAAUUAGAAGAUUUUUAAGCAUUUAUAGCAGUAGUCACAUUUUGAUUGAUUUUUGAUACCCCUUCAAAAUUUUAUGUUUUAGAAUCGUGUGGAUGUAUAUAUUUGUGAACAUUGUGGAUCUUGUUAUGGCAUUAGAAUUAGGAACAUGAUAAUCACUUGCUAAAGAUUACAUGAACUAAAUAGGUAGUAGUGGGUAAUAUUGACUUUGUGUCAUGUGUGUGUGAAAUACUACCUAGUUCUCUUUAUGUGUUAAAUUCAGAAUUGUCUGGUUAGUUUUGCCUAGGUUGAAGGAUAGUCGGUUAGGAAAGGAUCAUAGACCGUUUUAUAUUUCAGUCCACUUUUAACCUAAAUGACCUUCUAUGUGUGCAUUAUAUCCAUUGGUCCCUAUUUUGAGACUUAUAGCCUAUUUUUCUUGUUUUACCUAUUCACCUUUCCAUUUGUAUUAUAAUGAACCAGUUUUGGCCCUGAUCCUCCUUGGACAUUGUGCACCUUAACUCACGCAAAAAGCCUAAGUUAAGGGCGGCUAUCAUAGGGGUACGUAGUGUAAAAUGGGUAUGAGGAAGGGUAACAUAAGAGAAAAAUUUAGUAGGGUUGGGUGUGGUAGUAAAAGAAAAGAAAAAAAUUGUGAAAAAGAAAGAAUAAAAGACCACACCCAACCUGAAUGUACAAUAAAAGAAUAAAAAAGAGAAAUAAGGAUGGAAUAAAAAGGUAAUUGGCCAUUAAGUGAGACCCCAAACCUACAUUACAAGCUGAGAAAAGACCUAUAGUGAUCCUAACUUGACUAUCUGAAUGUUAAGGUAAAGAAAAUAAGGGCAAGCCUAUGGUAUUUGACAUGCAUUGAUUGGAACUUCUCUUUUGAGUGUGAGUGUAUCUUGACCGUCCCUGCAUUGAUAUACAUUAUUUCAUAUGAGUGAGUGAGACAUCUUUUUUGUGAGGGCUAUUAAGUCAUGUUGCUAGCUAUUUGCCUGUUUCGGAUAGUAUAAUUUGUACAUAUGAGUGGUUGUCUGUAGCUAAUAUAAUUGCCAUACCUUGAUCCCAUUGUGUCAUAUUGUAAUGCUUCAUGUUCAUACACAGUUGGCUUUGAAAAAGAGACAUAGGAGGGGAUAUUUUGAUUUGAACUUAAUACGAUGACUGCCUGCCUUGAGUAUCUUAGAUUCUCCUAGUUAAGCGUCAUUUUUGUUUUGUUGUCGUUUUGUUGUCUGAGGACAUGCAAAUGUUCUAAGUUGAGGGUGUUGAUGUGCUAUAGAAAUGUAGCACUUUUAACGCUUAAAAUAAGGAAAAUAUGCAAGUUUCUGAAGCUUUUUUGUUAGAUUUGAUCUAUUUUGGGUAUAUUUUGCAGAAAAUGAGGUUUUGGAUGAUACGUUUGGGAAAAUGGUGAAAAAAGGUAGUUUUGGCUACUUUUGGAGUGAUUAUUGAUAUGUGGGAUGUUUUCCAGCUUGAUCGUGAUCAAAGAAUGUUCGAGAAUUGAAGAAGAGCUGAAAAACUAAUUCCCGACACCUACUAAGUUAGCUCACGGACAGCAGGUACACAAAGUGGGUACCAGAAGUCCAAAAUCCCGAGAGCUGAGCAUUAUAGGAUUUUUACUCCUGCUAACUGCACCCUGUGCCUAGGCCGCAGGUAGUACCUGCGCGCUGCCAGACCACAGGUGCAGGAAGCAGGUGGCCACCGACCUUGUUUUCUCCUAUUUUGUCCGGACUUAGCUUUUAGGGUUUUCUCUUGCACUAUAAAUACCCCUUAUGUACUUUUGAGUAGAGGUAAGGCUUUUAACACACAUAAAUAUAUUUUAAUUUCAAGAUCCAUCUUUGAUCUUGGGAUUUCAUUGUAUUGACUUUGAUUGAUUAUUAGUUUACUAUUGUGGGUUUUUCUUCAUCUUAUCAUUGUGAUUUCAUAUUUGUUUUCCAACAUGAAUAUUAUUGAUUUAUUCACAAGUAUGAGAGGCUAAAACCCAUAUCUAGGGUUAUGCAAACCCUCGUUGACUGAUGAAGUAGGUAAGUGUGAUUGUUGAAUUAAACCAAUACCCAUGGCAUGCAUUGUAUUAUCGUCAUUAUAAUAGUUGUCUUAGCGGUUUCAAACAUUAGGAUCCCACCUAGAUUGCUACUUACUCCAAAAAAGAAUUAGUGACUAGGAAAAGAUAAUGACAACAGUAAUUUAGGAGUUAAUAGUCGAUCCGCAGUACAAAGGUAUAUCUGAAUGAUUAUUAUCUUUCAUCUAAUAACUUGAAACUCAAAAGGUGAGAUUUAACUGGGAUUAGGGUAAGGGUUAGUAAUGCGAUAUCCUGAGACUCAAAAGGUAAAGGGUGAAAUCCUCCUACUCAUCCAAAAAGCUGUAGGAGGUACAUAACUUAUCGAUUCAGUAUGUAAGGUAUUGGGUUGGUUCAAUAAUGCACGAUAAACCUAAGGAGUUGAGAUGCCAGAGGAAACACAAUCCUAGUGUCCACCCAUAACUGAUUUCAACCAGAGUUAAUAUUGCAACUUGCUCAAGACUAAUACAAACAAAUCCCCUUAUUUACUUUCCAGUACUGUAGACUACAACGGCUGAUAACUACAAACUACACAUUCCUUUGGGAUUCGACCCCAACCUUAGUUGGGUUACUAUAUCUUGAUAGUGACCAUACCAUUAUCCAAAAGGAGAUGUUGCUUGGAAGUCAUCAGUAUUGUCCCUUCAAGAGGCAAAACUGUAAGGCUACUGAUGUCUUCCAAAGUUAGGGUGAUUUCAAAAUCCACAAACUAAAAUAUCACGGUGAUUGGAUCCCAAAAUCCAACCUAUAUCUUCAUGAGCAUUGGCUCAAAUACCCAUGAGUGAGACCAAAGAGCCUAAGUGUUCUCUUACUUCAGCUCCAUGCACGGCCCGGAUAAUUUGCCACUAGUUUUGUAGGAUUUAGAGGGCUGAGACAAUCAUUUGGAUGUUUGGUAGGGUUUGGUUGGUAUCUAUCUGAAUGAAAGGAUAAAGGAUAUGAUAAGUCGUUUAUCUCAAAUAUAUUGUGUGUUUUGAUUUGGACCAUUCACAGCAAUCUUCACACAAAAAUAUGUCAACAGGUUUGCAACAUUUGAAAAAAAAGGUGGUUUCCUAAUUGCGAUGACAAUGCCUUAGACCGUCCCGCCUAAGGUGUGUGCAAUACGACCUAUUUCUAGAGUAGGAUUUUUCUCUAAACAUUUGGGAGUAGUACUGAAUAGCUGCGAGAAAAUGCACUAACCUAAUUGCACGACUCUGAAACUAAAGAAUCAAAAAAAGGUUCGAAUGAGUGUAAAACACCCUCUCAUGAACCACAGUGUGUGAAUUGUGUACGGUCAAAGACUCGAUAGGAAAAUACAAGUGAUAAAGCAGUAACAAGUAGUGUUUUCAAGAAAAUAGGGAACACAAGUUUGGACUUGGCUUGCGUCCUUUCACACAAAUCAAGCUAUAAGUACAUGUAAAGCAAAUAACGCAAUAAAAGCAUGAUAAUCCUAAACUAAGCAUGCUAAGAUAAAAACCUAAGUUCAACAUUCUCUAGCAGAGUCGCCAUGUUGUCGCGCGUUAUUUCGAACCAGUCAAAACAACACACAACAUAUAGUGUCUUGUUAUGACUCUCGGGUUUUUGAAAAUCAUUUUUAGAGUCGCCACCUAACUUUUUAGGAAAAUUAGGAAAAAUCAUUUUUUAUGUAAAACUCUGUUUAGGUCUAUCGAAAAUAUUUUGAGAUUCUGAGUAAGGAUUUUGGUUACUCGAGAGGAAGGUGUUAGGCACUCAUUAGAAUCUAGCCGAAGAUAGUACUUUAACACAGUUUAGGAAAAAAUUACUGCUUCGUUAUUUGCUAAAAUAGUGAUGAGAAAUCCUUUAUUAUAUAUAUUUUUUUAUUAUUAUUUAAAGAAAGGAAACUUAAGGUAUAGUAAACGUGAUGCUACCAUGUACAAGACUGUAAUAUAAUUAUUGUAGAAAUAUACAUGUAUUUUAAAUAUGAAAAAGGGUGGUAAUAUAAUUUACACAUAUGUUAGAAAGUGCAAAGUCUUAUAAUUCUGUAAGGAAACUUAAAGAUAUGUGAAGUUAAGUAUAUAACUAAAAUUAUUAUAGAGUAAAUAAAGGUAUUCUUAUGACAUGAGAAUUUAUUUACGAAAAGUAUGUUUAAGAGUAAGUGAAAAAUAUGUGAAAGAUUUUGAUUAUAUUUGUUAGCCAAGAGUCAAAAUAGCACACAUUAUUUAAUUGAAGAUUAAAAAUAGUUAGAUGAGAACUAUUGAAAUUUUACCAAAAUUUUGUUAUCAUAAAAUAGUAGUUGUAGGUUACGUCAAAAUAUUUUCUCUAGGCUUUAUGAUUAGAGUCACAGUAGAGUUUAAAUAACAAUAGCACAUCUUAGUUGAGACUUUGCUGGUGGCUGUUUUAUAAGUACAACUUCUCAUGCCAUGUUUAUCCUACUAUGUUGCUCGGACUCAUCAAAAGCAUAAGAAUGUGCCAGAUUCUUUAAAAGUUGUGCAUUUUUAUAAAUAUAUUGGAAUUAGGUAAAAAAUAAGUAAUAAAUAAAUGUAAUAACAUGUGAAGGAGUUGUUUAAAUCAUAAUAAUAAUAAUAAUAAUAAUAAUAAUAAUAAUAAUAAUAAUGGUAUAAAUAAUAAUAAUGAUGAUAAUAAUAGUAACGUUGGUAAUAAUAAUGAGCAAUAAUAAUGAUGAAAAUAAUUAUUAUAGUAGUAUCGAAAAUAAUAUACUUUGUACGUAGUAGCGGAUGAACGUAUAUAUCUCGCAUUUCUAAUCCUUUGAAAUCUGAAAACUCGGAUGGGAGUUGAAAAAUAAAAUAUAGUGUAAAGCGUCAAAAUUAUUUAUUAAAAAUAAGUUAAAAUUAGCAAAUGGACUCUUUUGAGAAAUCUAAUUUUUAGAGAAAUUGUUCUCCCGCGAAUUAGUAUUUAAAGUUUUAUUUGUUAUAUUUAGAAAAACAUGGAGAUUACUACGUCCAUUUUAUUAACAAAUCAUUCUGUAAGGUAAAAAUCAACUAGAACACUUGGCCUAAUCUUAAGAAAAAUUUGCUGGAAAAUCCCCUUCACUAAUUAAUCAAGAGAAAACAUGAUAACGCUACCCUAUUUUAAAAGAUAGGCACAUAACAAAGCAAUUAUAAAGCAAUAAACUAAUAAAGCUAUCUUAGACAAACUCAAUAACAAAAUAGAGUUAGUUAUCAUUCUAAAGCAAAAGCGUAACAUAAUAUGAAUAAAUUAAAGGAAAAAGCGGCUAAGAAAUACUAGACUCCAUUUUGGAGUUUGAACUUCUAAUUUUGCGAUUCCGGGACUCUGCGAUCCUAUAAUGGUUGAUCCGAUGCAUGGAUAAAGACGAGUUUCGAAUGAAACUCCAACUCCCGAAUUCACAUGAAAUAAAGAAAAUAAUAAGGAUUAGUAACAAAUUGAAAAUGACGAAAUAAUGUGUACUAUCAACUAAGAAAACAUGGCAAUCAAGAGUACGUUUCUGAAAAGAAUUAAAUAAAAGAUUAAGCUAAGCUAGUAAUCUAGUACUUCUACAAUUAUUUCUCGGGACAAAUGACCCAAAAUAGUUUGGUAAAGUUUAUCUAAACUCAAUAGAGAUGAACAUCUGCGGAUCAACAACCAUAGCUAAUUUAAACAUGUUUAACAGCCAAGGUCACUGGGAAACAAUUUCGAGACAACUUAAUUAGUGAGAACUUUGGCAUGAAAACACAUAAUCAAUCGUUUAUAUAUAAAAGAGAAGAGCUCAUUUCUUCAAAACGCCUAUAAACACCCCCAAAAAUUAGAUUCUUAAUCAUUACAAAAUACACCCCGCACCCCCCAUUAUUAAAAUUGAACGAUUUCAACAAAGCUAUACUCAUGUUGGCAACUAAAAAAACUGCAUGAUAUUAAACAAACUUUAUCCAAUGUUUGGAAUGGAAAGUGACUUCAUUACACUGACCUAAGCAUACAAAUGCACGUAAAACUUCCUUUUACUUUAAAUAAUAAUGCAUACGUUGCCAAUUCCGAAUUACUAAAAACUAUUAUUUUAAUAAGACGUGGAAUGUAGCAGUGUCUAAUUUGUAUAAAAAAAACAUGUACAAUAUAAAAAUUUAAGAAAACUUGUGAUUAGAUAACAAGGGUUAAAAGAAACUACUCUUGCAAAAGGGUCAACACAGAGACAGCGAGAAAGAGCAUCCCCUUUAUUCUUAAAAUAUGUUAUGCCUAACACCGAAAAAUGGCGAGAAACAAAAAUGACAAGAAUUCUUUUAAGGGAGUUUUCAAAUUAGAAAAACGAACACAACAGAGAGCUAUUUUCAAAUCAAACUUUUAACAUUUCGCACAAAUGGAGAGUUCUUUUCAUAUCUUGUGCAACUUAAGCUUAAAACGACCACACAUUGAAACAGGUUGGGAUGAAAAUCAUAUUUUCUGAACUCGGCUCGUGAUGACCAAACAUCAGUUCAUCAUUACGGCUUGAAAUUAGAAUCAUAUAUUUACGAAAUUAACAUGGCCAAGAGGAGGAGACAGAUGCGAAAGGGCUGAUUUUUCAUCCCUCAUAGAUAUUAUGAACAACUAUAUCAUAAUCCAAAUAGGAAACCAAGGAAAUCAAAUAUUUACUCAUAAAUUGAUUUUCCAGAUUUAAAGGCAAUAUAAUUGAAUCAAAAUCACAUGUAAACUCACUUUUUAGAACCAACAACAACAUACCCAGUGUAUUCCCACCUAGUGGGGACUGGGGAAGGUAGAAUGUACGCAGACCAUACCACUACCUCAAGAGAAGUAGAGAGGUUGUUUUCGAUAGACCCCCAGCUUAGGACCAAUAAUAGUAUAAUAAAUACAAAAAGUAAGCGGAUACAAACUAGUAUGGUACACAAAAUAAACUAACAGUAUAACAAACACAAAAGAUAAGUGCAUAGUAAACUAGUACGGGAUGCAAAAAAGCCAACACCACUAACCCCAAAAACUACAGCCCCAUCACUACGAACCAGAAACUCCAGACCCAAAGGAGCACUCCCCUAUUACUACCACCGCGCUCCCACCCCCUAACCCUCUACCCUAAUCCGCGUCCUCCACACCUUCCUAUCAAGGGUCAUGUCCUCUGUAAGCUAUAAUUGCUCCAUAUCAUGCCUAAUGACCUUCCUCCAAUAUUUUUUCAAUCUACCUCUAGCCCGCCUAAAACCAUCUAUAGCCAGAGUCUCACACCUCUGCACUAGAGCAUCAGGGCCCCUCCUCAUCAUAUGCCCGAACCAACGUAGCCUCACUUCUCGUAACUUAUCCUCCACCAAGGCAACUCCCACCUUCUCCCGAAUAAUCCCAUUCCUCACCCUAUCUUUCCUGGUAUGUCCACACAUCUAUCGCAACAUUCGCAUCUCCGCCACCUUCACCUUUUGGAUGUGGGAGUUCUUAACUGGCCAACACUCCGCUCCAUACAGCAUAGCCAUCCGGACUACCACUCUGUAGAACUUACCUUUAAGUUUCAGGGGCACUUUCUUAUAAAAAAGGACUCCCAAAGAGAGCCUCCACUUCAACCACCCUGCCCCAAUACGAUGCAUGAAAUCCUCGUCAAUCUCAGCAUUACCCUGAAUUAUAGACCCAAAACUCUCCCUCUUCUGGAUUGCCUGAGAGUCUAGCUUGACAACCACUCCAUCUUCUUGCGACAUAUUACUGAACUUACACUCCAAGUACUCCGUCUUUAUUCUACUUAACCGAAAACCUUUAGAUUCAAGCGUCUUGUCUCCAAACCUCCAACUUAUCAUUAACUUCACCCCGAGUCUCAUCGAUCAGAACCAUAUCAUCUGCAAAUAACAUACACCAAGGCACCUCUCCUUGAAUAUAUCGCGACAAAACAUCCAUCACCAAGGCAAAUAAAAAUGGGCUAAGAGUCGAUCCUUGGUGCAACCCUAUCAAAACUGUGAAGUGCUCUGAAUCUUUACCUACCAUCCUCACACGAGUUUUCGCACCAUCAUAUAUAUCCUGAAUCGACCUAAUGUACACCACGGGCACCCCUCUAUCCUCCAAGAACCUCCACAGAAUCUCCUUGGGAACUCUGUCAUAUGCCUUCUCUAGAUCAAUAAACACCAUGUGCAAGUCCUUCUUCCUUUCUCAAAAUUGCUCCAUUAAUCUCCUCACAGGGUGAAUGGCCUCAGUGGUCGAGCGACCAGGCAUGAAACCAAACUGAUUCUCAAAGAUAGUCACGAUCCUCCCCAUCCUCAACUCUACCACCCUUUUCCAAACCUUCAUAGUAUGACUCAACAACUUAAUACCUCUAUAGUUGUUACAACUCUGAAUGUCUCUCUUGUUCUUAUACACUGGAAUCAUCGUUCUCCACCUUCAUGCUUCAGGCAUCUUAGCAGCUCUAAAAAUAAUACUAAACAGCCUUGUCAACCACUCCAGACCUGCCCCACUAGUGCUCUUCCAAAAGUCUACUGGAAUCUCGUCUGGCCCCAUCGCCCUACCCUGCCGCAUCCUGCGAAUAGCUCCUUUGACCUCCUCAACCUCGAUACGCCUAUAAUAACUAUAAUCGCGACCCUCCUCAGAUAUCUCCAAGUCUCCCAACACAGAACUUUUGUCCCCCUCGUCAUUCAAAAUUUUAUGAAAAUAGGACUGCCACCUCUCCCUAAUAAGGGCAUCCUCAACCAACACUAUACCAUCCUCUCCUUUGAUGCACUUCACUUGGUCAAGGUCAUGAGCCCUCCUCUCUCUGGCCUUAUCCAUCCUAUACAACUUCUUAUCUCCGUCUUUCUCCUCUAAAGCCACAUACAAACUCUCAAAAGCUAUUGUCUUAGCCGCCGUAACCGCUAACUUAGCCUCUCUUCUAGCAACCUUAUACUCAUCCUUAUUCUUCUAUCUUUCCUCAUCAUUCUUGCUCCCAACCAACUUAGCAUAAGCCACUUUCUUAGACUUCACCUUUCUCUUGACCUCUUCAUUCCACCACCAGUCUCCUCGAUGUUUGCCAGAUCGACCUCUCAAGACACCCAAUACCUUACUAGCGGUCUCCCAAAUGCAACUAGAAGUCGUCUCCCUCAUAUUAUCCACCCCAUACUCUCCUAAGCCCCUCUAAUCUUCAACUUCUCUUCCAUCUCUAAAGCAUUAGCCAAAGUUAGGAUCCCCCACUUAAUCCUGGGUUGCGCCUCCCUACUUUUCUUUUUUUUGCCCUUAUUGAUAACCAAGUCCAUAACCAACAACCUAUGUUGAGUCGAGAGAUUCUCGCUAGGUAUGACUUUACAGUCUUUACAUAAUGCCCUAUCCCCUUUUCUAAGAAGCAAAAAGUUUAUCUGAGUCUUGGCCACUGAACUAUGAAACGUAAUAAGAUGAUCCUCCUUCUUUGAAAAGCUUGAAUUUUCUAUCCACAACCCAAAAGCCCUAGAAAAAUCCAUCAGAGAAGUUCCUCCUUCAUUCCACUCACCAAAACUGAAACUGCCAUGUACAUCAUCAUACCCUCUUGACAAAGACCCAAUAUGCCCAUUAAAAUACCCUCCCACAAAAAGCUUCUCAGUGCUCGGGAUGUUCCUGACCACCUCAUCUAAAACCUACAAGAAUUCCUUCUUCUCCUCUUCGUCCAAACCUACUUGCGGGGCAUAGGCACUAAUAACAUUUACCAUAGACCCUCCCAUGACUAACUUAAUAGACAUCAGUCUAUCACUAACUCUUUUUACCUCUACCACCUGCUCCCUAAGAUCUUUAUCUACUAAGAUACCUACCCCAUUUCUAUGUCGCACGCUACCCGAGUACCACAACGUAUAUCCAUCCACAUCUCUCACUUUAGUGCCUACCUAUUUAGUUUCCUGCACACACGCUACACUAACCCUCCUCUUUCUAAGAAUCUUCACCAGCUCUAUAGACUUAUCCUACAAAGUACCAAUGUUCCAAGACCUAACUCGCAACCUAGAAGCUCUCUUAUCCUGCCUAACCUUACUACCACUAGCCCCUAACCCCAAACCCGAUCCUAGACCUGACCCAAACCCAACCCCUCCAAAGCCCAGCCCAGACCCAACAAUUUCUGACUCCGACCCCGACCGAUGACAUGCCCUUAGUCUACCCUUACCAAUCAUAGUCACUAUGCAACAAAGAGAAGAAAAGAAAAAGGGAAAAAAGAUAACAAAGGGGGAUACACAAAUUUUGGUACACAAUAGUCAAUAGCAGGGACUAAUACUACCACACUUAAUGGAUAUGCUAGUAAAUCAAGUAACAGUAAUCAGACCAGGUAACACACUCCAACACUACUAAGCACAAUAAAUAGAUUCACAUGUACAACACUAUUACAAAGUAACCAGUCAAUAAGAAAUUUGACACCCACAACCAGAUAAUCAGCCAAGAAGCUACGAAAUAGGAAUCACAACAAGAAUAGUGCAGAACACUACCAGUAACAGCCCCUAAAAAUCAAGAAAGCUAUACACAACUAGAAAAGAUGGAUCGAGUGCACCUGAUCGAAGCUGGGUUGUGUCCUUAUACUUGGUUGAGUCGCUGGAUUCUGACAAUUUGCGGUAGAAAUUGGUCUCUGGAAUAGUGUCACCAAAAUAGUGUUAUCGGGAACAGCGUUGGCACUCCUUGAAGGUUGUUAUGGUGAUUAUUUGGAUGACAAAAGUAUUGAGGGAGGCGGCGGCGGCUUGUUGGAGUUACUAUUAUUGGAGGCGACGGAGGCUGGUGGCUGAGAUGCGGCAACGAUGGCGAGGACCAGCGACGGUAGCUGGAUCACUUCUUGUUGUGGUGGCGAUGGUGAGGAGGUGAAGCUUUGGACAGAGAUUCGAUAGAUGGAGCAUCGCCAGAGAGAGGAGGAAGGAGUAGAGGGUGGUGCUUGGUUUGUGGUUACUGACUAAUUUUGCCAGAAAUGAAAGGGACGGCGGCUGGUUCAACGAAGGCGGCGAUGGAGUUCUUCGAUCAAAAUAUGGUCAGAGAUGGCAGUGAUGGAUGUAUGCGAUGGAGGGGCGGUGCCGAUUUGCUGAUUGGGUGGGGGUGGCGGCGGCGAUAGGUUCGCCAGAGAGAGGAGAGAAGGCUAGUUUAGCGGCGGUCCUUGGACAACGAUGGUUUUGCGACUAACAAUAAAGAGAGAGAGAGAGACAAGGUGGGUGAGGGCCAGCCAUCGAAGAAGGCAGGCCGUUUUCCCUUUUGUCUUUAUAGAGAGAGGUUUAGAGAAAGGGGAGAGAGAAUCUAGAAAUUUCUAAAUUUCUAAAUCUAGAGGGGAGAGAGAAUCUAAUUGUGUCAAAACAUUAAAUGAAUUUAUUUUUUUCUUAGAGUUAACAACAAACCCUUAAAUUUAAUUGAACAAAAGUGACUUAUUCAUAUACUUACAGACCCGCGUAUACACAAAAUAAACUUUUAUAUCCAAGUCAUGCGCAUUGAUGAAAUUCUCGAAGGACCACAACAACCAAAUAAGAUAAACACGUGUAUAAAUUUAUGUAUUCAACACCAAAUGAUUUUUUAGAUUCGCAAACCACAACUUUUACUUGUAAGUCCAAGAUAGCAAUAACAACAUAGCUCAAAAUCAAGAUAAAUCUUAUAUUCAACAAAAUUGAAAAUAGAUGAAGAAAAGCAAGGCAAAAACAAAAUGAGAAGGGGGUCGGUUCGCACCUUCUUUGGUGCAGCAAACGAGGGUUCCAGUGCAAGGACUCUCCAGCUACCAGCUCAAACUCACAACGAGGAAAAUAAAUAAAACAACAGAGGAAAAUAAGAAAUUGACUUUGAUAACUUGAGUAUUUUUUAAUAUCUUUGGGUCUAUCUUUUUAACGUUUUCCUGUUCCACUUCUCUUCCUUCUUUAAACAAACUUUAUUUUUUUCUCUCCUUAUUCCACCGAUUUUGAAACCCUUUUUUGUUUUUUUUCUUCCUUUUUCAUGGAUUAUUUUGCAUCCUUUUUUUCUCACUCUUUUCUCAAUUUCAAGAUCUUUCUCGCCUCUUUUCCACCUUUCUUUUUUCUUUUCAAAACCUGUCCCUGAUGGGGAUGGCAAUACCCAUAUUUAUAGGUGCAAAUCUAGACUUGAAAGUCCAAAUUUGAAACCUUAGAAUUGAAUAAAAUGAAAAUAAAGGGUAAAAAUUUAUAAUUCUGAGACGAAUUCCUCAGAAUAUUAGCUUUUUUAGGCCAUUACUAGCGAAUAUGAAAUUGAGAAUAUAUUGUAAGACCAUUUUGGGUCUGUUUUUUCCUGGUUUCUUUGGUUUCAUGGGUUGGGUGAUGAGAAAAAUGGGAGAAUCUUGACAGGUGGGGUGCAGGUGGUGGCCAGCUAUGGUGGCAGCUAAGGUUAUGGCAUUUUUCGAUUCAAGGGGUGGUAGAUGAGGGGUGAGGGAGAGAGGAAGAGAGAGGGUCGGUGGUUUGAGUUGAUUUUAGGAUAUUGAUGGAGAUAGAAUACUGUUUUUUUAGGGAAAGUACUAUAUGCGUGUUCUAACUUUUUGGUGAGUGGGAGGAGCACUUAUCGUGCUGACUUGUUGGACUAAAAUGUGGAUUCUCAGAUCGUUUGAUCGGACGG